GAUGAACGCUGGCGGCGUGCUUAACACAUGCAAGUCGAACGGUGAACGAGGGAGCUUGCUCCCUCCGGAUCAGUGGCGAACGGGUGAGUAACACGUGGGCAAUCUGCCCUGGACUCUGGGAUAAGCGUUGGAAACGACGUCUAAUACCGGAUACGAGGCGUGGGGGCAUCCCCAACGCCUGGAAAGAACCUCGGUCCAGGAUGAGCUCGCGGCCUAUCAGGUAGUUGGCGAGGUAACGGCUCACCAAGCCUACGACGGGUAGCCGGCCUGAGAGAGUGACCGGCCACACUGGGACUGAGACACGGCCCAGACUCCUACGGGAGGCAGCAGUGGGGAAUAUUGCACAAUGGGCGCAAGCCUGAUGCAGCAACGCCGCGUGAGGGACGACGGCCUUCGGGUUGUAAACCUCUUUUAGCAGGGAAGAAGCGAAAGUGACGGUACCUGCAGAAAAAGCACCGGCUAACUACGUGCCAGCCGCCGCAGUAAAAC
rnacentral:rRNA from 1 species